AUGCAAGUCGAACGAGAAUCUACUGAAGGAGGAUUCGUCCAACGGAAGUAGAGGAAAGUGGCGGACGGGUGAGUAACGCGUGAGGAACCUGCCUUGAAGAGGGGGACAACAGUUGGAAACGACUGCUAAUACCGCAUGAAGCAUAGGGGUCGCAUGAUUCUUAUGCCAAAGAUUUAUCGCUUCAAGAUGGCCUCGCGUCUGAUUAGCUGGUUGGCGGGGUAACGGCCCACCAAGGCGACGAUCAGUAGCCGGACUGAGAGGUUGAACGGCCACAUUGGGACUGAGAUACGGCCCAGACUCCUACGGGAGGCAGCAGUGGGGAAUAUUGGGCAAUGGGCGCAAGCCUGACCCAGCAACGCCGCGUGAAGGAAGAAGGCUUUCGGGUUGUAAACUUCUUUUAAGAGGGAAGAGCAGAAGACGGUACCUCUAGAAUAAGCCACGGCUAACUACGUGCCAGCAGCCGCGGUAAUACGUAGGUGGCAAGCGUUGUCCGGAUUUACUGGGUGUAAAGGGCGUGCAGCCGGGUCUGCAAGUCAGAUGUGAAAUCCAUGGGCUCAACCCAUGAACUGCAUUUGAAACUGUAGAUCUUGAGUGUCGGAGGGGCAAUCGGAAUUCCUAGUGUAGCGGUGAAAUGCGUAGAUAUUAGGAGGAACACCAGUGGCGAAGGCGGAUUGCUGGACGAUAACUGACGGUGAGGCGCGAAAGUGUGGGGAGCAAACAGGAUUAGAUACCCUGGUAGUCCACACUGUAAACGAUGAAUACUAGGUGUGCGGGGACUGACCCCCUGCGUGCCGCAGUAAACACAAUAAGUAUUCCACCUGGGGAGUACGAUCGCAAGGUUGAAACUCAAAGGAAUUGACGGGGGCCCGCACAAGCGGUGG
rnacentral:rRNA from 1 species